AGUGAACGCUGGCGGUAGGCCUAACACAUGCAAGUCGAACGGCAGCACAGUAAGAGCUUGCUCUUACGGGUGGCGAGUGGCGGACGGGUGAGGAAUACAACGUAAUCUACUUUUUCGUGGGGGAUAACGUAGGGAAACUUACGCUAAUACCGCAUACGACCUACGGGUGAAAGCAGGGGAUCUUCGGACCUUGCGCGAAUGAAUGAGCCGAUGUCGGAUUAGCUAGUUGGCGGGGUAAAGGCCCACCAAGGCGGCGAUCCGUAGCUGGUCUGAGAGGAUGAUCAGCCACACUGGAACUGGGACACGGUCCAGACUCCUACGGGAGGCAGCAGUGGGGAAUAUUGGACAAUGGGCGCGAGCCUGAUCCAGCCAUACCGCGUGGGUGAAGAAGGCCUUCGGGUUGUAAAGCCCUUUUGUUGGGAAAGAAAGGCAGCAGGUUAAUACCCCGCUGUUCUGACGGUACCCAAAGAAUAAGCACCGGCUAACUUCGUG
rnacentral:rRNA from 1 species